rnacentral:rRNA from 1 species
AUUGAACGCUGGCGGCAUGCUUUACACAUGCAAGUCGAACGGUAACAGGCCGCAAGGUGCUGACGAGUGGCGAACGGGUGAGUAAUGCAUCGGAACGUGCCCAGUCGUGGGGGAUAACGCAGCGAAAGCUGCGCUAAUACCGCAUACGAUCUAUGGAUGAAAGCGGGGGACCGUAGGGCCUCGCGCGAUUGGAGCGGCCGAUGUCAGAUUAGGUAGUUGGUGGGGUAAAGGCCCACCAAGCCAACGAUCUGUAGCUGGUCUGAGAGGACGACCAGCCACACUGGGACUGAGACACGGCCCAGACUCCUACGGGAGGCAGCAGUUGGGAAUUUUGGACAAUGGGCGCAAGCCUGAUCCAGCAAUGCCGCGUGCAGGAAGAAGGCCUUCGGGUUGUAAACUGCUUUUGUACGGAACGAAACGGUCUGGGUUAAUACCCUGGGCUAAUGACGGUACCGUAAGAAUAAGCACCGGCUAACUACGUGCCAGCAGCCGCCGUAACAC